UAGUUUCAAUGUGGUGAGGUGUGACUGUAAGUAUGGCAAAACACACCUAAGCCUCACAUAAUUAUUUGUUAAAGGGUAUCAGCAUUAAAAGCUCCUGUCAGAUGAAUAUUUGUUUGAUAUUACACAUAUUCUAGCCUGCUGUCACACUUUUUAUACGCACUAUUUUUUUAAAUGAAAUGUUCUCUAUAUUAUUAUCUUUGCACAAAGUGUCAUUUUUAUUUCUUCAUAGAUAUUUGCCUUUGGACUUUAACUCUUCUUUUAUUUCACUCCUUUGUAAAUGCCAAGCAGCUACUAUUUGCAUCAUAAUGAAAGGACAGGAGUUCACACAGCAAAUCCCUACCUUGACAUUCACAGGGUGAAAAUGAUCAACUCGGAAUCUGCAAACAUUAAUCACCAAGGGGCAUGUGGUGAGAGACUUUAGAAUUACAUGGCCUAACUGGAAAUUGUGUUCUCUACUAAUGAGCUGCAGUUACCUUGCGAGUGCGGAGGGUCAGCUCAGCUGAACGUGCUUGUGUUCUGCGGGUGAAGGAUUCUAAAGAAACAUGGAGUGAUGGGGUAACUGGGACUGGUGGGAGGUCUCCCUUGUUUUGUUUGUUCUACCUACUUACACAAGUCUACAAGUGUCACUUUAUUAGAGCUGCCCUUGUGAGGAAAAAGCAGGGCUGCCUGCGGAUGGCACGUGACAGCCAGUAACAACUCCAUUAAAGGAGCUUUGGAUCUGGAGGAGAAUAUAAGCAGAGAGCCAGCCAGUUUCUCCAUCUGUGACUGCAGUACGUCACAGGGUCCCCUCCUUUGUUCAAGAUGUGGGAAGAGAAGACGGGGCUCCCGGUGUUACGGAGAUAAACUUAAUCUGUUCCCUCACGUGGGUGUCUGUAUGGAAGAUACAAGCAGAAGGCAAGGGAACUUGCUGGCAAACUGUUUUCUGCUUGAAGCAUGAAUUUUAAGUGAUAACUGAAGAAUUAAUUGCUUUGUUUCAAUGCAAGCUUGUAAAUCGCUGUGACGUUACUGAGUCAUGUGAGAUUACGCAUGUAUUUGUAACUCUCACACUGAGUCACCGAUUUAAUAUCACACAUGUCAAGCCCAUCACCCUCAGAAACACAGUCUAGAGGAGAUCUGGAAUGUGCUGAUAUGGUGCGAAUAUAUUUUAACACAUCCGUAAUUAAUCUAGUUACAUGUACUUUAAGUAAAAUCAAAUGUUUUCCA